rnacentral:misc_RNA from 1 species
GAUGAAGAACGUAGCGAACUGCGAUAAGUAAUGUGAAUUGCAGAAUUCAGUGAAUCAUCGAGUCUUUGAACGCACAUUGCGCCCCCUGGCAUUCCGGGGGGCAUGCCUGUCCGAGCGUCAUUGCUGCCCUUCAAGCCCGGCUUGUGUGUUGGGUCGUCGUCCCCCCCGGGGGACGGGCCCGAAAGGCAGCGGCGGCACCGCGUCCGGUCCUCGAGCGUAUGGGGCUUUGUCACCCGCUCGAUUAGGGCCGGCCGGGCGCCAGCCGGCGUCUCCAACCUUCUAUUUUACCAGGUUGACCUCGGAUCAGGUAGGGAUACCCGCUGAACUUAAGAAUAUCAAUAAGCGGAGGA